rnacentral:rRNA from 1 species
AGCGAACGCUGGCGGCAGGCCUAACGCAUGCCAGUCGAACGAACUCUUCGGAGUUAGUGGCGGACGGGUGAGUAACACGUGGGAACGUGCCUUUUGGUUCGGAAUAACUCAGGGAAACUUGUGCUAAUACCGAAUGUGCCCUUCGGGGGAAAGAUUUAUCGCCAUUAGAGCGGCCCGCGUCUGAUUAGCUAGUUGGUGAGGUAACGGCUCACCAAGGCGACGAUCAGUAGCUGGUCUGAGAGGAUGACCAGCCACACUGGGACUGAGACACGGCCCAGACUCCUACGGGAGGCAGCAGUGGGGAAUCUUGCGCAAUGGGCGAAAGCCUGACGCAGCCAUGCCGCGUGAAUGAUGAAGGUCUUAGGAUUGUAAAAUUCUUUCACCGGGGACGAUAAUGACGGUACCCGGAGAAGAAGCCCCGGCUAACUUCGUG